GACGAACGCUGGCGGCGUGCCUAACACAUGCAAGUCGAGCGGAGGUACAAUGAGAGCAAUCGAGAUGUACUUUAGCGGCGGACGGGUGAGUAACGCGUGAGCAACCUGCCCAUCACAGGGGGAUAAGGCGGCGAAAGCCGCUCUAAUACCGCAUGAGACCCUCAAAGCGAUGCAAUGGGGGUGAAAGGAGCGAUCCGGUGAGAGAUGGGCUCGCGUCCGAUUAGGUAGUUGGUAGGGUAAGGGCCUACCAAGCCAAUGAUCGGUAGCCGGCCUGAGAGGGUGAACGGCCACAUUGGAACUGAGAGACGGUCCAAACUCCUACGGGAGGCAGCAGUGGGGAAUAUUGGGCAAUGGGCGAAGCCUGACCCAGCAACGCCGCGUGAGGGAAGAAGGUUUUCGGAUUGUAAACCUCUGUUCUUGGGGAAGAGGAGGAGACGGUACCCAAGGAGGAAGCCCCGGCUAACACGUGCCAGCAGCCGCGGUAAGCACGAAGAGUA
rnacentral:rRNA from 1 species